rnacentral:rRNA from 1 species
UACGUAGGGUGCAAGCGUUGUCCGGAAUUAUUGGGCGUAAAGAGCUCGUAGGCGGUUUGUCGCGUCUGCUGUGAAAUCCCAGGGCUUAACCUUGGGCCUGCAGUGGGUACGGGCAAACUAGAGUGCGGUAGGGGAGAUCGGAAUUCCUGGUGUAGCGGUGAAAUGCGCAGAUAUCAGGAGGAACACCGGUGGCGAAGGCGGAUCUCUGGGCCGUAACCGACGCUGAGGAGCGAAAGCAUGGGUAGCGAACAGG